GAUGAACGCUAGCGGCAGGCUUAAUACAUGCAAGUCGAGCGGAGUUAUGAUGGAGCUUGCUCCUGAUUAACUUAGCGGCGGACGGGUGAGUAACACGUAGGCAACCUGCCCUCAAGACUGGGAUAACUACCGGAAACGGUAGCUAAUACCGGAUAAUUUCUUUCCUCUCCUGAAGAGAGAAUGAAAGGCGGAGCAAUCUGCUACUUGGGGAUGGGCCUGCGGCGCAUUAGCUAGUUGGUGGGGUAAUGGCUCACCAAGGCGACGAUGCGUAGCCGACCUGAGAGGGUGAACGGCCACACUGGGACUGAGACACGGCCCAG
rnacentral:rRNA from 1 species